AAACGGUAGCUAAUACCGCAUAAUGUCGCAAGACCAAAGAGGGGGACCUUCGGGCCUCUUGCCAUCGGAUGUGCCCAGAUGGGAUUAGCUUGUAGGUGAGGUAACGGCUCACCUAGGCGACGAUCCCUAGCUGGUCUGAGAGGAUGACCAGCCACACUGGAACUGAGACACGGUCCAGACUCCUACGGGAGGCAGCAGUGGGGAAUAUUGCACAAUGGGCGCAAGCCUGAUGCAGCCAUGCCGCGUGUAUGAAGAAGGCCUUCGGGUUGUAAAGUACUUUCAGCGGGGAGGAAGGGAGUGAGGUUAAUAACCUUAUUCAUUGACGUUACCCGCAGAAGAAGCACCGGCUAACUCCGUGCCAGCAGCCGCGGUAAUACGGAGGGUGCGAGCGUUAAUCGGAAUUACUGGGCGUAAAGCGCACGCAGGCGGUCUGUCAAGUCGGAUGUGAAAUCCCCGGGCUCAACCUGGGAACUGCAUUCGAAACUGGCAGGCUGGAGUCUUGUAGAGGGGGGUAGAAUUCCAGGUGUAGCGGUGAAAUGCGUAGAGAUCUGGAGGAAUACCGGUGGCGAAGGCGGCCCCCUGGACAAAGACUGACGCUCAGGUGCGAAAGCGUGGGGAGCAAACAGGAUUAGAUACCCUGGUAGUCCACGCUGUAAACGAUGUCGACGUGGAGGUUGUUCCCUUGAGGAGUGGCUUCCGGA
rnacentral:rRNA from 1 species